rnacentral:rRNA from 1 species
UGGGGAAUCUUGCACAAUGGGCGAAAGCCUGAUGCAGCGACGCCGCGUGCGGGAUGACGGCCUUCGGGUUGUAAACCGCUUUCAGCAGGGACGAUAAUGACGGUACCUGCAGAAGAAGCCCCGGCCAACUACGUGCCAGCAGCCGCGGUAAUACGUAGGGGGCAAGCGUUGUCCGGAUUUAUUGGGCGUAAAGAGCUCGUAGGCGGUUUGGUAAGUCUGGUGUGAAAUCUCCACGCUCAACGUGGAGGGGCCACCCGAUACUGCCAUGACUGGAGUCCGGUAGAGGAGUGUGGAAUUCCCGGUGUAGCGGUGAAAUGCGCAGAUAUCGGGAGGAACACCCGUAGCGAAGGCGGCACUCUGGGCCGGUACUGACGCUGAGGAGCGAAAGCGUGGGGAGCAAACAGGAUUAGAUACCCCCGUAGUCC